rnacentral:rRNA from 1 species
GACAGAGGGUGCAAACGUUGUUCGGAAUUACUGGGCGUAAAGCGCGUGUAGGCGGCUAAGUAAGUCGGGCGUGAAAUCCCACGGCUCAACCCGUGGAAGUGCACUCGAAACUGCAUAGCUAGAGUCCUGGAGAGGAAGGUGGAAUGCUUGGUGUAGAGGUGAAAUUCGUAGAUAUCAAGCGGAACACCGGUGGCGAAGGCGGCCUUCUGGACAGUGACUGACGCUGAGACGACGAAAGCGUGGGGAGCAAACAGGG